ACUUCUCAUUAAAGUGAAGAUUCACCAAAUCUUGUUUCUAUGAUCAUAUUAUAAUCUAUCACCUAGGGAUUAUAAUUGUUCAUUAAAAUGACACAUGCUCACUAUUACUUUUCAUAUAUGUUUCUGUGGCUAAUGGUAUAAUCUAAAUAAUGCUGUAAAAUAGUUUUCCACCAUUCAAACACAGGCACACACAAACAUCACUUUUUAUGUGUCUUUAUACCUACAGCAACCAUUUCAGAGCAUCACACCACUUAGUAACACUUGAUAAUGGAUUCAACAUGCCGAAACUCCCAGUGCACUAUGGAAGGCUGCUAGGGAAUAUGAAAUUCAACAAGGGAGGAUGCUCUGCCAUAGAAAUCUUCCUGUAAAAGCAAGAAUGAUAAUUUGCAGCAACGACACUCAAGACCAUUCCAGCCACACGGGAAUUAUGUACAGAAAGACAUUAUCUCUCAGGCUCGAAGCAUGAUGCUGGUUAAUGAAAAUUAUACUCCAUUCGACGCAUUUGAGCAAUUUUUGAGAAUAAUAAAGUAUAAGACAACUUCUGUGUUCUAUCUUUAAUAAAUGAGAAAGAAGUAAAGAUUAGGUGUUGGCAGAAAAAAAAUGAAACCACUAGGCUUUGCAUUUUCUAUGUAUCACUUCAAAUUUAUGAAUUGAAAUCAUUUCAUAUUAUCUUUAAACUAUACAUUUUAUUUGAUCCCUAUGGUGUUAAUACUGAAUUAAAAAAAAUUCUCAAGGAUUCAAAUCCUGUGUCAUUUUAUCAUCGCUAAGAAUCAGAACUUUGUCUUCCAUUUCUAGAAACCAACCUCUCAAUUAAGCAAUUCACAGUUUCACUAAUGUCUCAGUGACCAGUUUUUGCUAAUCAUCAUGCAAAAGAGAGAUGUCAGAAUUUAGAUGUCAGUGUAGAAGAUUUUAUAUAAUGUGAUUAAAAUGAAAAUUGUUUAAACUCAUCAAUAACAAAAAUAUAAAUUAAUGAACUAAAAAGUAAAAUUUGCAUCCAUCUGAAAUAAAAAAAAAUCCUAAGCAUUUUUUUCAAAAGUAAUGUGUGGAAAUAGAUCUUCAGGAAUGUCAUAUACAAUUCAAAAAUAAGAUUAUUUACUGAAAGCCCAACUUAACAAUAUGUACCAACACACAUCUAAAAAGCAUAUUUUUUGUUCUGCAAUAAAAUUUUUAGGAAUUUAUCUUAACUAAAUAAUCAAAGAAAUGUGCCAAGAUAUAUACAUAGGAAAUUUCACUGUAGUAGUAUUUAUAACAUAAAACUAGUCAGUAUUAAAAUAUCCAUUAAUAUGAAAAUGGUUAAAAAUUUUAUACAAUGAAUACUAUGUAAAUUAAUCCUAACCUAAUCAAUGCACUGGAUUAAAUUCCAUACUGUAGGGAAUGCAAGGCUACAAGAACAUAUUGAAUAAUACAAGAGGAGUAGAAUCAGACAAAGGCUUGCUUGAGCAAUUCCCAUGGAACAAAAUAUCCAGGCAUUUCAUUAACUGAAUUACAAGAAAGAAAAAUGGAAUAAGAAAAUAGGAACCAACAGACUAAAAAGAAUUUAAGAGAUAUGUAAUAUUUCAUUUCUUUGAGUCAUGCUGCAAAUAAUGAACAGUAAGGGCAGACAAAACAAACAGAGAGGUUAAACAUCAAAUAGUAUUUGAAUACAGUAGGUUUUUAUAAGUACUUUGCAGGUUAAGAUAAGGAUAUUGUUCUGAAACUCUGUAUCAUUAUUAAUGUUUUUACUUUGUUUUGUUUUUGUCUAUGUUGUUGGUAUUUUGCUAUUGUUCUUUUUUAUUAUUAUUCUUUUUAAAAUAAAAAAGGUAAGGAUAUUGUAAUGUUUUAAAAUAAAAAUCCAUAUUUGUGAAGCAAAGUCACUGUACACUGAUUAGGAGCUUAUAAAGUCCCAAGAAAUAAGCAACAGGUCCAUUAAGGGGGUAUACUAUCUGGCAGUCAUUUAUGAUAAUUAAGGAUUGUUAUUGGAGGUAGUUUGUUAGGUUUGGAUGAGACACAAUUGCAUUGACAACUGUUGAAGCUCUGCAGUCAGAGCAUUGCAGUUCAUUAUAUUUCCUCUAUUUUAUAACAUUUUAUAAAAAGCAUUAAAAGUUUGAAGACUUCUGGGCAUAAUGACACACACCUAGAGUCUCAGCACUUGGGAAUGUUGAAGAAUCAAGAUUGCAAGUUCAAGCCUACUGUGGGCAGUUUUAGGACUUAGGGCGACCCUGUCUCACAAUAAAAUAAAACAAAAUCUUAAAAAGGGUUGCAGAAGUAGGUCAGUCUGAACACUUGGGCUUCAAUUUCUAGUACCAAAACAAAGAAACAAAU
rnacentral:lncRNA from 1 species